UCGUUUUAAAACGAGUUAACAAGCAUGCAGGCGGUCCACAAGCAUUUUCCUAUUUACAUUGAAAAAUAACUAAGUUAUCACUGCAAUGUUCCUAUGAAUCAUUUCUAGGCAGUACAAUAGGCAAUAAAUCAAUAGAUUUUACAUAACCACGUUACAUAACAAUUAACAGUUUGCAAUUCCAAUAAUAAUUCAAAACAAGUCUCUCUAACCACAUUAGAUAACGAGAAUGGUGUUGGACACGAAGAAGAAGUGGAAACGAAGUUGGAGGAAUAAGAAUGAUGUUGGACACGAAGAAGAAGUGGAAAUGAAGAUGGAAGGUGUUGAGCUGAG
rnacentral:lncRNA from 1 species